AGAUUGAACAUCUUCAGGAACUGGUGAGUCGAGCCAAGGAAAAGGCGGACCGAGACAAAGAGGCCCUCAAAAAGGCGACCAGAGUGCAAAAACAACGGGCAGAGAAAAGUCAGGAUGCCCUGGAGAAGAUGAGUGUGCAGUUGAUGGAACGGGAUGCACAGCUAGAAGACUUACGCUCUCAGCUGGAGCUUAUGGGGCCCAGAUACGAUAAAAUGUCCAAAGAGAAAUCUCAGCUCUUGGCUGAGAACUCUGCACUCAAGACGCGGAUGGGUGAGCUGGAGUCCCUGAUGGACCAAGUGGAGAACAGCUCCAAGUCCCAGCAGGCAUCCGUCAGUGUACAGCUCCACGAAAUGCAGGGAGAGAACUCCGUCCUCAAAGUGGAAAAUGAGCGCCUCAAGACCUCCAUACAAACAAUAGAGAGGAAAUUUCAGCAGGCUGAUGAAGAACUUGUCCAACUUCGCGGAAAUCUCAAACAGUAUGAGAAUCUGGUGGAGGAGUACAAAGCUCAGAUGAACAAAUCACGCCGUGAGGCCGAUGACACUAUGGUACAACUGGUCGAGGAGAAAAAGAACACGGAGUAUAUCGCCCAGGAGAGCGAGAUAGAGUUAGAGAAGGUCAAAGUGCGUCUUCAUCAGCGCCUACAGGAAUUGGAACCACUUCCUGACAUGCUCAAAUCGACAGAACUCAAACUGUAUGAAUCCCAAGAGAGAAUGCUGCUCUAUGAGAAAAAGAACACUGAAAAUACCAAGCUCAUAGCAGAGCUGACUGCCAAGGUGGAACAUGUCACAGAUCAACUGGAACAGAACCGGAACAGAUUCCAUGAAGCGCAGGAUGAGAACAGACUGAUGCUGAGCAAGUUGGAAUCACUAGAAAGAAAACUACGUGAUGCCGAUGAGCAAAACCGAGAGCUGAUGGCCAGUGUAGCAAAGAGAGAGGAGGGGUUGCAUCAGAACAAUCUUAGACUUGAAGAAAAGUCCAGAGAAAAUGCUAGUCUCACUCGUCAGCUAGAAAACGCUUUGUCAGAUAUAAGACGCCAGACGGAACAAACAAGAGAUAAAGCUCUCCAAAAGGAGAGAACAUACCAAACUCGAAUCACUGACCUGGAGUCACAGAUGAGUCAGUGUAGGGCGGAAAUUGCUCGACUCAAACGAGAAAAAGAGGAGGUAAUUAAAUAGUUCAUUUUAAUUUAAGAUUUAUGGUAAAUGAAACAAUUUUUGACAGUCCACAAAUAAAAAAUUAUGCAUUUCUAACCAUAUUUUUUCAAUUCUUUGUAGAACGAGAGGAAGUUUAACUCGCGCUUAUAUGACCUCAAAGAUCGACUGGAACAGUCCCACAGUACCAAUCGUAGCAUGCAGAACUAUGUUCAGUUCCUCAAGAACUCAUAUGCCAAUGUUUUUGGGGACAGUAAUGUUUCCUACCCCUCUACUCCUCUAAACUCAGGAAAUCCUCAAUUCUAGCUUCUAACUGUAAAUCUUAGAUACUGUAUUUCUUAUAACUUUAGCUCAAAAGGCAUUUAAAUAUAUAACAAAUAUUUUCAAUAUAUUUCUGAGAAUUUUUAUAAUACAGUUAAAUCAUGAUAAAAUUUACUUGUAUAUUUAGAAUUCUUGCAUAAACUGUAAGAUCAGUGACUUGCCUAGAUACAAGUAUAAGAUGGCACAUUUAAUGUGUUUUUGGUUGAGUAUCAAGUAAUUUAUUUUUAUGUUACUUUAUACUGUGUCUGUGAUAUUUUUUUAUUACCGUUUAUUUUGAUUUUGCCGUCCUUUUUAUUCCACAUAGAAAAGGGUGCUUUUAUUUUUUUUUUUAGGAAUUCCAUUUAGUACAAAUAUUUACUGGUAUAAAUGUAAGCAUAAAAGAUUUUGUAUUGAUAGUACAACUAGAUCAUGAUUCAUUUUCAUAAUCCCAAGAUACCGAAAAUCAGAUAAUCAAAACAUUUCUUGCAAUUUGACAGAGUAAGAUCUUUAUUAUUUAAGACUAUUUUCUUUUCAAAACCUCAAUUUUCAUUUUUAAGGGAAAAUUUUUUUUAAGUACACUAAUUGGUGGAUAUUAUUUUAUAUGGUGAUGUUUCUGAACUGAGCUAAAAAAAUUGACAGCUGAUUGGACAGCAUUUUAAUCAUGUGACAAACUGCCACACCCAUCAGUUCAUCACUCACUCUUAAUGGUUGUAAUGUACAUGUACAAUAUUUAAUAAAACUUUGUAUUGUAACAAAGUAAAACAGCAAUAAAAAUGAUUGAAUAAAUG
rnacentral:misc_RNA from 1 species